UACGGGGGGGGCAAGCGUUGUUCGGAAUUACUGGGCGUAAAGGGCUCGUAGGUGGCCGACUAAGUCAGACGUGAAAUCCCUCGGCUUAACCGGGGAACUGCGUCUGAUACUGGAUGGCUUGAGUUCGGGAGAGGGAUGCGGAAUUCCAGGUGUAGCGGUGAAAUGCGUAGAUAUCUGGAGGAACACCGGUGGCGAAGGCGGCAUCCUGGACCGACACUGACACUGAGGAGCGAAAGCCAGGGGAGCAAACGGG
rnacentral:rRNA from 1 species